rnacentral:rRNA from 1 species
GGGUAACCUGCCUAUAAGACUGGGAUAACUCCGGGAAACCGGGGCUAAUACCGGAUAAUAUUUUGAACCGCAUGGUUCGAAAUUGAAAGGCGGCUUCGGCUGUCACUUAUGGAUGGACCCGCGUCGCAUUAGCUAGUUGGUGAGGUAACGGCUCACCAAGGCAACGAUGCGUAGCCGACCUGAGAGGGUGAUCGGCCACACUGGGACUGAGACACGGCCCAGACUCCUACGGGAGGCAGCAGUAGGGAAUCUUCCGCAAUGGACGAAAGUCUGACGGAGCGACGCCGCGUGAGUGAUGAAGGUUUUCGGAUUGUAAAGCUCUGUUGUUAGGGAAGAACAAGUACCGUUCGAAUAGGGCGGUACCUUGACGGUACCUAACCAGAAAGCCACGGCUAACUACGUGCCAGCAGCCGCGGUAAUACGUAGGUGGCAAGCGUUGUCCGGAAUUAUUGGGCGUAAAGGGCUCGCAGGCGGUUUCUUAAGUCUGAUGUGAAAGCCCCCGGCUC